AGCGAUGGCAGAGCUUUCCAAGUCUAUCGAGAUACAGCCCAUCACAUCUCAGCCACCGAACCACGAUCUCGAUGAUUCCUCCCAACCUGUCUCCCCUGGUUGUCCAGAUGUACCGACUGUCCCCAGACAGGUGACAGACUAUCUGCCACUGUCUCUGUGUACCAUGAUGUACUGCUUCUUUCCAAUUGGGCUAUGUGCUCUCCUGUACUCAAUUAGGGUUCGCGAGGCCAAUUUGCUUGGUGACCAAACUCGAGCGCAGCGAGCAUCUCGUAUUGCCUGUGUACUGAACGUCUUGGCAGUUAUUUUCGCUGGGAUCACUCUCGUAGUCAUUUAUUUUUUAGUGAGGGUAUGCGUGAGUGAAUACUCGAGUUGUUGAAUUGGAAUGGAAAGCUCCAUUCUCGUUGAGAUUAUGUGAUUUGCUGUUGAGUUUAGAGUAUAGCUAACAAAAUCUGAUAUAUAUAUAUAUACAUAUAUAUGUAAGUUUUGCAGGUAUAUCUAAUUUUAGCAGUAGCUUUACUGUAUACAUAUCCUAAAUCCUAAAUAUUAAGAGCUGCCUUUCAGAGGACAGACCCCCAGCGGCUAAGCUGGGUCCAGUGAGCUACUCGGAAAACUGUGGGUCUGUGCUAGCAAACUCCUUGAGCAGGGCCAAUCACUCGCAGAAUCGAUAUCACAGACUUGUAAAGCCAACUAUGGUGUGCACACCCGAAGUCUCACCAGGACUCUAGUGGCUAGUCGACCUCUGUGUUUAGAGAAGCAAAUAUGUGUUAGCUUCUUGAACUUGCAACCUUUGAAGGUCCCGGAUGUCAACACUUCAUAAGAUAACUCUAACCAACUGAGCUAUCGCACCACAUCUAGUAAUCAGCUUACCAAUCAAAUAGUACAAUUUGUGAAAUAUUGCGGUAUCACUUAGUUGCUAGCAAUUGUUCUCCCUUCAUACAACAAAAUAGCGUUUACUCUCAUGGCCUGGUGUCAGUCUUGUGUGUG